AACGAACGCUGGCGGCAUGCCUAACACAUGCAAGUCGAACGAGACCUUCGGGUCUAGUGGCGCACGGGUGCGUAACGCGUGGGAACCUGCCCUUAGGUUCGGAAUAACUCCCCGAAAGGGGUCCUAAUACCGGAUAAUGUCUUCGGACCAAAGAUUUAUCGCCUUUGGAUGGGCCCGAGUUGGAUUAGCUAGUUGGUAGGGUAAAAGCCUACCAAGGCGACGAUCCAUAGCUGGUCUGAGAGGAUGAUCAGCCACACUGGGACUGAGACACGGCCCAGACUGGUACGGGAGGCAGCAGUGGGGAAUAUUGGACAAUGGGCGAAAGCCUGAUCCAGCAAUGCCGGGUGAGUGAUGAAGGCCUUAGGGUUGUAAAGCUCUUUUACCCGGGAUGAUAAUGACAGUACCGGGAGAAUAAGCUCCGGCUAACUCCGU
rnacentral:rRNA from 1 species